rnacentral:rRNA from 1 species
GAUGAACGCUGGCGGCGUGCCUAAUACAUGCAAGUCGAGCGAACAGACGAGGAGCUUGCUUCUCUGACGUUAGCGGCGGACGGGUGAGUAACACGUGGAUAACCUACCUAUAAGACUGGGAUAACUUCGGGAAACCGGAGCUAAUACCGGAUAAUAUUUUGAACCGCAUGGUUCAAUAGUGAAAGACGGUUUUGCUGUCACUUAUAGAUGGAUCCGCGCUGCAUUAGCUAGUUGGUAAGGUAACGGCUUACCAAGGCGACGAUGCGUAGCCGACCUGAGAGGGUGAUCGGCCACACUGGAACUGAGACACGGUCCAGACUCCUACGGGAGGCAGCAGUAGGGAAUCUUCCGCAAUGGGCGAAAGCCUGACGGAGCAACGCCGCGUGAGUGAUGAAGGUCUUCGGAUCGUAAAACUCUGUUAUUAGGGAAGAACAAAUGUGUAAGUAACUAUGCACAUCUUGACGGUACCUAAUCAGAAAGCCACGGCUAACUACGUG